UACGGAGGGUGCGAGCGUUGUCCGGAAUCACUGGGCGUAAAGGGCGCGUAGGCGGUGUGUCAAGUCAGGCGUGAAAGCCCCGGGCUCAACCUGGGAACCGCGCUUGAGACUGGCACGCUCGAGUUCGGGAGAGGUGAGUGGAACUGCGAGUGUAGAGGUGAAAUUCGUAGAUAUUCGCAAGAACACCAGUAGCGAAGGCGGCUCACUGGCCCGAUACUGACGCUGAGGCACGAAAGCGUGGGGAGCAAACAGG
rnacentral:rRNA from 1 species